ACAUACGACCAUAGACUGAGGAGAACCGGGCAUCCCGUCCGCUCUGCCAUACNAAGCCUCAGAUCGGUAGAUUAGUAGUUGGGUGGGUGACCACCAGCGAAUACCUACUGUUGUAUGUU
rnacentral:rRNA from 1 species